rnacentral:lncRNA from 1 species
UUAUUAACAAAAUAUGCCUUAUGGUAUCCCAAAGUGAUAAAUUUAUAGCGUAUGCUACCAUUUUUAUGAUGAAAAGCAUUGUGGAUUAUUUCUUUUAGACGGUUUUUCAAUUUCACAUGGGGAAUGGUUGUAUACAAGGUUGAAAAAUCAAAAGUUUUGAUAGAACUAAUUUCAGAAAAAGACCGAGAUUUCAAAUUAUCCAGAAGUUCUUUAGAGUUUUUGAGAAUCCAUAUAUGGUUAAUACCACUACG